rnacentral:antisense_RNA from 1 species
AUAUGAAUUGUAGACUGGUUUAAAUACUAAAAGUAUAAAUUGUGUUCAGACUGUGGAUUUACAGUAUGUGAUAGCUUUUCUUGAUCAUGAACUUGUUCAGUAGCGUUUGCAUUGGCUGGAAUAAAUGCAUUAUUCAUAUUAUUGUUAUUGUAGCUAAUAGUAGAGGAAGGAGUAGCAACCAAUGUUUGAGCUGCCAAAUCUGAACUGUUAUGAUCAAUGCUGGAAUUAAAAGUAAUGGAUGACAUGUUAUUUGUAUUCAUUUUAGUAAUAGUAGUAGUAGUCGUAGUUGUUGUUGUGUUAACUGGGACUCCGAAAUUUUCUACUGAAGAAUUAAUAUUGGAGUGACUAGGAACAGGUUCUAUAACUCCUUGAUUAAAAUGAUGUUGGGAUGGUGGUUUUGACUUGAUUAAAGGAAGAGGAGUAUCACUUGCCAUCAGUUCUUCAGCUGUGACUCCAUAUUGUUUAAGUUGACGAGUAAGACUUCUUAAAGCUUUUCUUCUGUGGUCCAUUACUGGUGGAGGAUAAAUAAUGAAUUCCGCAAGCCUCCUUCUAAAGCAAUCAUGCCUAUGCUGCUUAAUGCAAAAAGAUCUAAUCGUUGGAACACCAGUAGUUAAUGUGGAAGCUUGAGAUGGAUCUCCAUUUGAUUGGAAUUGAGAACCGUUUUCUGUUAUGUUCAUUUGCCCGUUAUUAGAUUCAGAGUUAUUGUUAUAUCCUGUAGUCAUAAGGCUCAUAGCUAAUCUUGACGAACUACCUAUAGCUCUUAAACAGUUCAAAGCACUUUCCUUAAGUUCAGCAUCUGUUAGUCUAGAGAAAGGGAUUGCUGGACUUCUAUUUGGAGGUGGUCUCUUCUUUACAACUAUUCCUGAAGCCACUAAUUCUUUCUUAUAAAUUUCUCUCUGUUUUCUAGCC